UCUGUCCAUAUGGGUGCGUGUAAUAGUAUUUAUAGCAGUGUAUUUAAUGUUUGUUAUAUAAUACAGUGCUUAUUUAAGAUAUUCAUCAUUAUUUCAACAAUGCUGAUGCAAAACAUCUUUUAGGUGAAUGAAGCAGCACCGUGGCUGGUUCCAAAAGCAAAAGUCGAAAUAUUGGAGUACUUAAACAAGGGAUAGAUUAAAGUAUUAUUAAAAUUGUUUCUGAAACUCGAAUUUGGAAUUGCGGGUCUCAGAGGCCGUAUGGAACCGAAUUACAGCAAAAUGAAUGACUUAGUAUCGUGCAAAUUGGCCAAGGAUUAAUAAAAUAUUUGUUGGACAUGAUAUUUAAUGUUGCCCAGAAAGAUGUCGCAAUAGGAAUUACAAUAAUAAAAGGUUUUCAGAAUUAACUUCUGCGCAGCAAUCUUUACAACCAAUGGUAUUCAGAUUUAUUUUCCACGAUUUGCCCUACGUUGUUUAUACCUUACUUUUUGCCGUUUGAGGGGCAAACUUUAAGCCAUUCAUAAGAUGAUAGAAGAGCAAAAGCUGCCAUUCAGAAUUUCUCAGAAUAAAAUUCCUAAUUCAGAGAAGGAAAAAAGCGUUCUGAAUCUCAGCAUUUUUAUUAAAAAAUGUAAAAAUAAAUAUUAUAAAUUAAUAUAUUUUAUGUGUGUCAUUAAUAUAUUUAAUGUGUUCAUUAAAAUCUAACCUAACUGAACCUAAUCUUGCAACCACAGGGAGGAUCAACCUAUAAUUAGAAACCCGUAUAAAAAGACUCAUUAAAAGAUGACGUAAGAUGAUUAAUUUUAAACAUUUUUCAGAUAUUUUAGAGGUGACUAAAAGAUGUCUACCCGAUCAAAAUUUUUUAUACAUAAUA
rnacentral:lncRNA from 1 species